rnacentral:tRNA from 1 species
AGGGGUAUAGCUCAAGUGUAGAGCGCUUGCUUAGCAUAUACAAGGUCCUGGGUUCAAUCCCCAGUACCUCCU